rnacentral:rRNA from 1 species
GCAUAUCAAUAAGCGGAGGAAAAGAAACCAACCGGGAUUGCCUUAGUAACGGCGAGUGAAGCGGCAAAAGCUCAAAUUUGAAAUCUGGCACCUUCGGUGUCCGAGUUGUAAUUUGAAGAAGUAACUUUGGGGCUAGUCCUUGUCUAUGUUCCUUGGAACAGGACGUCAUGGAGGGUGAGAAUCCCGUGUGGCGAGGAGCCUAGUCCUAUGUAAAGUGCUUUCGACGAGUCGAGUUGUUUGGGAAUGCAGCUCUAAGUGGGUGGUAAAUUCCAUCUAAAGCUAAAUAUUGGCGAGAGACCGAUAGCGAACAAGUACAGUGAUGGAAAGAUGAAAAGAACUUUGAAAAGAGAGUGAAAAAGUACGUGAAAUUGUUGAAAGGGAAGGGCAUUUGAUCAGACAUGGUGUUUUGCGACCCUCGCUCCUUGUGGGUGGGGAUCUCGCAGUUCACUGGGCCAACAUCAGUUUUGGCGGCAGGAUAAAUUCUUGGGAAUGUAGCUUGUCUUCGGAGAAGCAUUAUAGCCCAGGAGAAUACUGCCAGCCGGGACUGAGGACUGCGACUUUUGUCAAGGAUGUUGGCAUAAUGGUCAUAUGCCGCCCGUCUUGAAACACGGACCAAGGAGUCUAACGUCUAUGCAAGUGUUUGGGUGUAAAACCCGUACGCGUAAUGAAAGUGAACGUAGGUGAGGGCCUCUUGUAGGUGCAUCAUCGACCGAUCCUGAUGUCUUCGGAUGGAUUUGAGUAAGAGCAUAGCUGUUGGGACCCGAAAGAUGGUGAACUAUGCCUGAAUAGGGUGAAGCCAGAGGAAACUCUGGUGGAGGCUCGUAGCGGUUCUGACGUGCAAAUCGAUCGUCGAAUUUGGGUAUAGGGGCGAAAGACUAAUCGAACCAUCUAGUAGCUGGUUCCUGCC